UAAAAACAUAAAAAAAGAGGGAAUCGAACACCACACUCACACGCACUUGGCAUCGCAUCUGCUGUCUACCAUGUGUGGUCUUCUCUUUUUUUUUUUUUUUUUUUUUUU
rnacentral:ribozyme from 1 species